rnacentral:rRNA from 1 species
UGUAUCCCCCGGGUGCUAAGCAUAUCAAUAAGCGGAGGAAAAGAAACCAACAGGGAUUGCCCCAGUAACGGCGAGUGAAGCGGCAACAGCUCAAAUUUGAAAUCUGGCCUCGGCCCGAGUUGUAAUUUGCAGAGGAUGCUUUUGGCGCGGCGCCCUCCGAGUUCCCUGGAACGGGACGCCACAGAGGGUGAGAGCCCCGUAUGGUCGGACGCCAAGCCUGUGCAAAGCUCCUUCGACGAGUCGAGUAGUUUGGGAAUGCUGCUCAAAAUGGGAGGUAAAUCUCUUCUAAAGCUAAAUACUGGCCAGAGACCGAUAGCGCACAAGUAGAGUGAUCGAAAGAUGAAAAGCACCUUGAAAAGGGGGUUAAACAGUACGUGAAAUUGUUGAAAGGGAAGGGCUCGUGACCAGACUUGUGCCAGGCGGCUCAUCCGGCGUUCUCGCCGGUGCACUCCGCCUGGCUCAGGCCAGCAUCGGUUCUUGCCGGGGGACAAGAGCGGCGGGAACGUGGCCCCCCUCGGGGGGUGUUAUAGCCCGCCGCACGAUGCCCUGGCGGGGACCGAGGUCUGCGCUCCGCAAGGAUGCUGGCGUAAUGGUCACCAACCACCCGUCUUGAAACACGGACCAAGGAGUCGUCCAUCAGAGCGAGCGUUUGGGUGUCAAACCCGCACGCGUAAUGAAAGUGAACGCAGGUGAGAGCUUCGGCGCAUCAUCGACCGAUCCUGAUGUACUCGGAUGGAUUUGAGUAAGAGUUUUGCUGGACGGACCCGAAAGACAGUGAACUAUGCUUGUAUAGGGUGAAGCCAGAGGAAACUCUGGUGGAGGCUCGCAGCGGUUCUGACGUGCAAAUCGAUCGUCAAAUAUGAGCAUGGGGGCGAAAGACUAAUCGAACUG